rnacentral:rRNA from 1 species
CCUACGGGAGGCAGCAGUGAGGAAUAUUGGUCAAUGGACGAGAGUCUGAACCAGCCAAGUAGCGUGAAGGAUGAUUGCCCUAUGGGUUGUAAACUUCUUUUAUAUGGGAAUAAAACGUUCCCCGUGUGGGAUUUUGUAUGUACCAUAUGAAUAAGGAUCGGCUAACUCCGUGCCAGCAGCCGCGGUAAUACGGAGGAUCCGAGCGUUAUCCGGAUUUUUUGGGUUUAAGGGGGGCGUAGGUGGAUUGUUAAGUCAGUUGGGAAAGUUUGCGGUUCAACGGUAAAAUUGCAGUUGAAACUGGCAGUCUUGAGUACAGUAGAGGUGGGAGGAAUUCGUGGUGUAGCGGUGAAAUGCUUAGAUAUCACGAAGAACUCCGAUUGCGAAGGCAGUUCACUGGACUGCAACUGACACUGAGGCUCGAAAGUGUGGGUAUCAAACAGGAUUAGAUACCCUUGUAGUC